GACGUAGGGCGCGAGCGUUGUCCGGAUUUAUUGGGCGUAAAGAGCUCGUAGGCGGUUUGUCGCGUCGUCUGUGAAAUCCCACGGCUCAACUGUGGGCUUGCAGGCGAUACGGGCAGGCUAGGGUUCGGUAGGGGAGACUGGAAUUCCUGGUGUAGCGGUGAAAUGCGCAGAUAUCAGGAGGAACACCGGUGGCGAAGGCGGGUCUCUGGGCCGAUACUGACGCUGAGGAGCGAAAGCCAGGGGAGCAAACGGG
rnacentral:rRNA from 1 species